rnacentral:rRNA from 1 species
GAAAGUAAGCAAGGGCAGACGGUGGAUGCCUUGGCUCUCGGAGGCGACGAAGGACGUGAUAAGCUGCGAAAAGCUCGGGGGAGGCGCAAAUAGCCGUUGAUCCCGGGAUAUCCGAAUGGGGCAACCCGGCAGGCUGAAGGCCUGUCAUCCCGUAAGGGAGGCGAACGUGGGGAACUGAAACAUCUAAGUACCCAUAGGAGGAGAAAAUAAACAAUGAUUCCGUAAGUAGUGGCGAGCGAACACGGAAGAGCCCAAACCCAUGUCGUCUAGGCGACACGGGGGUUGUAGGACCACGACGUGGCAAGAGGAUGGCAAGUGGAACGCCUUGGAAAGGGCGACCGUAGAGGGUGAUAGUCCCGUACACGACUGCCUGCCGAAGCCUAGUGGCAUCCUGAGUAGCGCGGGGCACGAGAAAUCUUGCGUGAAACAGCGGGGCCCAUCCCGUAAGGCUAAAUACUCCCGAGAGACCGAUAGCGAACCAGUACCGUGAGGGAAAGGUGAAAAGAACCCCGAGCAGGGGAGUGAAAUAGACCCUGAACCCGUCUGCCUACAAGCGGUCGGAGCAUAGCAAUAUGUGACGGCGUGCCUUUUGCAUAAUGAACCUACGAGUUACCUUCCCCGGCAAGGUUAAGUACCUAAGGUACGGAGCCGAAGCGAAAGCGAGUCUGAAGAGGGCGGCCAGUCGGGGGGGGUAGACGCGAAACCGAGUGAUCUACCCUUGGCCAGGUUGAAGGUUGGGUAACACCAACUGGAGGACCGGAUGGGUAAGCGUUGAAAAGCUUUCCAAUGAGCUGAGGGUAGGGGUGAAAGGCUAAUCAAACUCGGAGAUAGCUCGUACUCCCCGAAAUGCAUUUAGGUGCAGCCUCUUUAUAGUAUAUCGUGAGGUAGAGCGACUGAUUGGAUGCGAGGGCUUCACCGCCUAUCAAGUCCAGAUAAACUCCGAAUGCGCGAUAUAUAUUUACAGGGAGUGAGGGCGCGGGUGCUAAGGUCCGUGUCCGAGAGGAGAAGAAUCCAGACCACCGGCUAAGGCCCCCAAAUGAUCGUUGAGUUGAACUAACGAGGUCGGAUCGCAGAGACAGCUAGGAUGUUGGCUUGGAAGCAGCCAUUCAUUUAAAGAGUGCGUAACAGCUCACUAGUCGAGCGAUCUGGCGUGGAUAAUAAUCGGGCAUAAACGAUCUGCCGAAGCCGUGGAUGUCGUAAGACAUGGUAGGGGAGCAUUCCAUGCGGCGUCGAAGAUGAGGGAUGACCCUUGUUGGAGCGCAUGGAAAAGCAAAUGUAGGUAUGAGUAACGAUAAGGGGGGCGAGAAACCCCCCCGCCGAAAGACCAAGGUUUCCUGAUCAACGCUAAUCGGAUCAGGGUGAGUCGGGACCUAAGGCAAAGCCGAACGGCGCCGCCGAUGGAAGAAUGGGUUAAUAUUCCCAUACUGCCUCAUGGAGUGACGUGGAGACGGAGAAGUGACAGUCCUGCCGGCUGACGGAAUAGCCGGUUGAAGGGUGUAGAUAUUGAUUCCCGUAGGCAAAUCCGCGGGGAGAGUCGAACCUGACAGUAUACCGAGUACUUGUACGAGGUAAUAUGGACGUAACCAUGCUCCCAAGAAAAUCCGCUAAACUUAUCCAUGCGGCACCCGUACCGUAAACGGACACACGUGGUCGGGUUGAGAAUACUGAGGCGCUCGAGUGACUCACGGUUAAGGAACUAGGCAAAUUGACCCUGUAACUUCGGGAUAAAGGGUCCUCGUCGUAAGGCGAGGCGCAGAGAAUAGGUCCAGGCAACUGUUUAACAAAAACACAUGGCUAUGCUAAAUGGAAACAUGACGUAUAUAGCCUGACACCUGCCCGGUGCUGGAAGGUUAAGAGGAGAUGUCAUCGCAAGAGAAGCGUUGAAUUGAAGCCCCAGUAAACGGCGGCCGUAACUAUAACGGUCCUAAGGUAGCGAAAUUCCUUGUCG